rnacentral:lncRNA from 1 species
GAUAAUAAGGAGGAGGAGGAGGAGAAUGAAGAGGACUGAUAUUCCUUGGCUAAGUAUUUUUCCCAAUCAGAAGAAUUAUUGCUAUAUAUCGGAAGAUCAGAUAAAGAGAGUGUCUCUAGUGAUUCUUCUUCUUCUUCAUCAUCAUCUAGUAACUCUUGUCGUUGCACUUUAGGGAUUGGGAAUUUUUUCAAUGGAGCUUCUUGAUCAUGAGAUUGCUUGUUAG